GGUAAUACGGAGGGUGCAAGCGUUAAUCGGAAUUACUGGGCGUAAAGCGCGCGUAGGUGGUUUGAUAAGCGAGAUGUGAAAGCCCCGGGCUUAACCUGGGAACGGCAUUUCGAACUGUCAGGCUAGAGUAUGGUAGAGGGUAGUGGAAUUUCCUGUGUAGCGGUGAAAUGCGUAGAUAUAGGAAGGAACACCAGUGGCGAAGGCGGCUCACUGGCUCGAUACUGACGCUGAGGUGCGAAAGUGUGGGGAGCAAACAGGAUUAGAUA
rnacentral:rRNA from 1 species